rnacentral:rRNA from 1 species
AGAGUGAACGCUGGCGGUAGGCCUAACACAUGCAAGUCGAACGGCAGCACGGUAAGAGCUUGCUCUUAUGGGUGGCGAGUGGCGGACGGGUGAGGAAUACAUCGGAAUCUACCUUUUGGUGGGGGAUAACGUAGGGAAACUUACGCUAAUACCGCAUACGCCCUUCGGGGGAAAGCCGGGGACCAGCAAUGGCCUGGUGCUGAUAGAUGAGCCGAUGUCGGAUUAGCUAGUUGGUGAGGUAAUGGCUCA